GACGAACGCUGGCGGCGUGCUUAACACAUGCAAGUCGAACGGAAAGGCCCUGCUUUUGUGGGGUGCUCGAGUGGCGAACGGGUGAGUAACACGUGAGUAACCUGCCCUUGACUUUGGGAUAACUUCAGGAAACUGGGGCUAAUACCGGAUAGGAGCCCCUGCUGCAUGGUGGGGGUUGGAAAGUUUCGGCGGUUGGGGAUGGACUCGCGGCUUAUCAGCUUGUUGGUGGGGUAGUGGCUUACCAAGGCUUUGACGGGUAGCCGGCCUGAGAGGGUGACCGGCCACAUUGGGACUGAGAUACGGACCAGACUCCUACGGGAGGCAGCAGUGGGGAAUAUUGCACAAUGGGCGGAAGCCUGAUGCAGCAACGCCGCGUGCGAGAUGACGGCCUUCGGGUUGUAAACCGCUUUCGCCUGUGACGAAGCGUGAGUGACGGUAAUGGGUAAAGAAGCACCGGCUAACUACGUG
rnacentral:rRNA from 1 species